rnacentral:rRNA from 1 species
AGUGAACGCUGGCGGUAGGCCUAACACAUGCAAGUCGAACGGCAGCACAGUAAGAGCUUGCUCUUACGGGUGGCGAGUGGCGGACGGGUGAGGAAUACAUCGGAAUCUACUUUUUCGUGGGGGAUAACGUAGGGAAACUUACGCUAAUACCACAUACGACCUACGGGUGAAAGCAGGGGAUCUUCGGACCUUGCGCGAUUGAAUGAGCCGAUGUCGGAUUAGCUAGUUGGCGGGGUAAAGGCCCACCAAGGCGACGAUCCGUAGCUGGUCUGAGAGGAUGAUCAGCCACACUGGAACUGAGCCACGGUCCAGACUCCUACGGGAGGCAGCAGUGGGGAAUAUUGGACAAUGGGCGCAAGCCUGAUCCAGCCAUACCGCGUGGGUGAAGAAGGCCUUCGGGUUGUAAAGCCCUUUUGUUGGGAAAGAAAAGCAGCAGGUUAAUACCCCGCUGUUCUGACGGUACCCAAAGAAUAAGCACCGGCUAACUUCGUG